UACGAAGGGGCUAGCGUUGUUCGGAAUCACUGGGCGUAAAGGGCGCGUAGGCGGCCGAUCAAGUCGGGGGUGAAAGCCUGUGGCUCAACCACAGAAUUGCCUUCGAUACUGGUUGGCUUGAGACCGGAAGAGGUAAGUGGAACUGCGAGUGUAGAGGUGAAAUUCGUAGAUAUUCGCAAGAACACCAGUGGCGAAGGCGGCUUACUGGUCCGGUUCUGACGCUGAGGCGCGAAAGCGUGGGGAGCAAACAGG
rnacentral:rRNA from 1 species